rnacentral:rRNA from 1 species
UGGGGAAUCUUGCACAAUGGGCGAAAGCCUGAUGCAGCAACGCCGCGUGCGGGAAGAAGGCCCUAGGGUUGUAAACCGCUUUCAGGAGGGAAGAAAAUGACGGUACCUCCAGAAGAAGGUGCGGCCAACUACGUGCCAGCAGCCGCGGUGACACGUAGGCACCAAGCGUUAUCCGGAUUUAUUGGGCGUAAAGAGCUCGUAGGCGGUUCGGUAAGUCGGGUGUGAAAACUUGAGGCUCAACCUCAAGACGCCACCCGAUACUGCUGUGACUAGAGUGCAGUAGGGGAGCAGGGAAUUCCUGGUGUAGCGGUGAAAUGCGCAGAUAUCAGGAGGAACACCAGUGGCGAAGGCGCUGCUCUGGGCUGUAACUGACGCUGAGGAGCGAAAGCAUGGGUAGCAAACAGGAUUAGAUACCCCUGUAGUCC